rnacentral:rRNA from 1 species
UAGGGAAUCUUCCGCAAUGGACGAAAGUCUGACGGAGCAACGCCGCGUGAGCGAAGAAGGCCUUCGGGUCGUAAAGCUCUGUUGUUAGGGAAGAACAAGUACGAGAGUAACUGCUCGUACCUUGACGGUACCUAACCAGAAAGCCACGGCUAACUACGUGCCAGCAGCUGCGGUAAUACGUAGGUGGCAAGCGUUGUCCGGAAUUAUUGGGCGUAAAGCGGGCGCAGGCGGUCCUUUAAGUCUGAUGGGAAAGCCCACGGCUCAACCGUGGAGGGGCCUUUGAAACUGGGGGACUUGAGUGCCGAAGAGGAGAGUGUAAUUCCACGGGUAGCGGGGAAAUGCGUAGAGAUGUGGGGAAACACCAGUGGCGAAGGCGACUCUCUGGUCUCUGACUGACGCUGAGGGGCGAAAGCGUGGGGAGCAAACAAG